AUGUGUGUUGCUGAAACAGGCAAGCCUCUCAGAUGUCUCCUACCCUGCAACACCUGUGUUUAUGGCCAGAGAACUGGAAUGAGGAAUCCUUCACCCAGUAGCAGUGGCCCUGACACCAGCCAGACUCUGCAGGUACUUCCUCUACCUCCCCCUGCCCAGCUGUGCCUCGUCAGGAGAUGUCAGACCUGCAAGCUGAAAUGUCAGGUCAGUUGGGAAAAGUUCCCUUUAAUAAAACUAGGUUUGCUUUGACAAUGCCUUAGU
rnacentral:lncRNA from 1 species